CGCGUAGGCGGUUACAUAAGUUGGAGGUGAAAUCCCCGGGCUCAACCUGGGAACUGCUUUCAAAACUGUGUGACUUGAGUACAGCAGAGGAUAGUGGAAUUUCUAGUGUAGCGGUGAAAUGCGUAGAUAUUAGAAGGAACACCAGUGGCGAAGGCGACUGUCUGGGCUGAUACUGACGCUGAGGUGCGAUAGCGUGGGGAGCAAACA
rnacentral:rRNA from 1 species